AUGCUCGCUUCAACAACACAUGCACUAAAAUUGGAAUGACGCAGAGAAGAUUAGCAUCGCCUCUGCACAAGGAUGACACAAAUUUGUCAAGCAUUUUAUAUAUAA